UGUUGUGACCUCUCCAGUUGCGGAGCACAGGCUCCGGACGCGCAGGCUCAGCGGCCAUGGCUCACGGGCCUAGCCGCUCUGCGGCAUAUGGGAUCUUCCCGGACCGGGGCACGAACCCGUGUCCCCUGCAUCGGCAGGUGGAUUCUUAACCACUGCACCGCCAGGGAAGCCCCAGGAAAACUCCCAGACUAAAAUUUCCCAGAUGGAGCAUGGCAAAACAUUCAAGCAGCUAGAGAAAGACAACAAGCAAGAAACAUUACUGAUUAUUCAGCAGAAUUUGAAAGUUGUUACAACUCAAAGAUUAGAGGAGAAAAUUCAUAAACUUCAGAAACAGCUCAGUGACUUGAAAUUGUCAAAUAAAAAUAUGAAAACUCAACUGACAAGAGUAAAUGUCCUUAAAGACAAAACACUUGAGAAGCUCAGGCAAUCUUUAACAAAAGUUGAAGUAAUGAAAGGGAAGGCAGUUAUGGAAACAGACUUGAAAACUACAGUAGACUCUGCUGAAC